rnacentral:rRNA from 1 species
CAAGACGACCCGCUAACUUAAGCAUAUGGAUCCC